UACGGAGGGGGCUAGCGUUGUUCGGAAUUACUGGGCGUAAAGGGCACGUAGGCGGCUUGGUAAGUUAGAGGUGAAAGCCCGGGGCUCAACUCCGGAAUUGCCUUUAAGACUGCAUCGCUAGAAUUGUGGAGAGGUAAGUGGAAUUCCGAGUGUAGAGGUGAAAUUCGUAGAUAUUCGGAAGAACACCAGUGGCGAAGGCGACUUACUGGACACAUAUUGACGCUGAGGUGCGAAAGCGUGGGGAGCAAACAGG
rnacentral:rRNA from 1 species